UAACUUGGUUACACGAUAUACUUGAAGACUGUAGUAGGAACAAAAUGCUUGGCAGACCAAACUAAUUAGGUAAGCUGAGAACUAAUUAAACCCUAGAAUAAUUGGUUGCUAGUGAUAGAAUCAUCUUGUACUGUUGUACAUAACUAAUUUUGGUUUCAACUUUGGUGUGGUCAUGUAGCUUUGAAGUUUCCUGGAGACAGACUACUCUUGCAUCAUUAUGUGCAACCCACAGGGAUCUCGCUCGGUGAGACAUGCACACCUAUGCCACAUCUUUACAAGUAAGUUUGUUUUGCUUAGCCAUGGACAGUGAGGUCCCCCUUCUCUGAUUUCUUCAUUCCCAGUUCAUUUAUUUAUUUGAUAUCAAUAUCUUUACUAUAGGAUUCAUGUCCUUGCCAACUCUUCAAUUGUUAAUUGCACACUCAGAGUCUGG
rnacentral:lncRNA from 1 species